GGCGGGUGCUAACGUCCGUCGUGAAGAGGGAAACAACCCAGACCGCCAGCUAAGGUCCCGAAGUCAUGGUUAAGUGGGAAACGAUGUGGGAAGGCCCAGACAGCCAGGAUGUUGGCUUAGAAGCAGCCAUCAUUGAAAGAAAGCGUAAUAGCUCACUGGUCGAGUCGGCCUGCGCGGAAGAUGUAACGGGGCUAAACCAUGCGCCGAAGCUGCGGCAUUCAGAGGACAGAUUUCAGAAGACAGAGGACGGAAUGAUGUCAUAUGGAUUCGAGCAAUUGGACGUGUUUAAGAAAGCUUAUCGAAUUUCGUUAGAAAUUCAUCAGGUGAGUUUGACAUUUCCUCAGUACGAACAAUAUGGAUUAGCGGACCAGGUCGGGCGGGCAAGUAAGGGCAUUUGCGCCAACCUUGCCGAGGGCUUUGGUAAGCAGCAUUAUUCCAAACCCGAGUUCAGGCGUUUCAUUAGUAUAGCCUUAGGCAGUGCCGAUGAGAUGCGUGUAUGGUUAAGAUAUUGUCUGGAUUUGGGCUAUAUCAAUCGGGUUCAGUGGCAGGAAUGGCGCGAUGGCUAUGAAGAGAUAGCGAAAAUGCUGACUGGACUGGGGCGGCGUCUGUAAGCUGUAUUCUGACGUCUGUUCUCUGAAUGGGUAGGGGAGCGUUCUGUAAGCCGUUGAAGGCGGCGCCGUGAGGCCUGCUGGAGGUAUCAGAAGUGCGAAUGCUGACAUAAGUAACGAUAAAGCGGGUGAAAAACCCGCUCGCCGGAAGACCAAGGGUUCCUGUCCAACGUUAAUCGGGGCAGGGUGAGUCGACCCCUAAGGCGAGGCCGAACGGCGUAGCUGAUGGGAAACAGGUUAAUAUUCCUGUACUGAAUGUGACUGCGAAGGGGGGACGGAGAAGGCUAGGCCAUCCGGGCGACGGUCGUCCCGGUUUAAGCGUGUAGGUGGGAGGAGCAGGCAAAUCCGCUCUUCUUUUAACACUGAGGCGUGAUGACGAGCCGCUACGGCGGUGAAGUGGUUGAUGCCCGGCUUCCAGGAAAAGCCUCUAAGCAUCAGGUGACAUUGAAUCGUACCCCAAACCGACACAGGUGGUCAGGUAGAGAAUACUCAGGCGCUUGAGAGAACUCGGGUGAAGGAACUAGGCAAAAUGGUGCCGUAACUUCGGGAGAAGGCACGCUGGCGUUAGGUGAAGGGGUUUGCCCCCGGAGCCGAAGCCAGUCGCAGAGACCAGCUGGCUGCAACUGUUUAUUAAAAACACAGCACUGUGCCAACACGUAAGUGGACGUAUACGGUGUGACGCCUGCCCGGUGCUGGAAGGUUAAUUGAUGGGGUUAGCCGUUAAGGCGACGCUCUUGAUCGAAGCCCCAGUAAACGGCGGCCGUAACUAUAACGGUCCUAAGGUAGCGAAAUUCCUUGUCGGGUAAGUUCCGACCUGCACGAAUGGCGUAAUGAUGGCCAGGCUGUCUCCACCCGAGACUCAGUGAAAUUGAACUCGCUGUGAAGAUGCAGUGUCCCCGCGGCAAGACGGAAAGACCCCGUGAACCUUUACUAUAGCUUGACACUGAACAUGGAGCCUUGAUGUGUAGGAUAGGUGGGAGGCUUGGAAGUGCGGACGCCAGUCUGCAUGGAGCCAUCCUUGAAAUACCACCCUUGAAUGCUCGAUGUUCUCACUCAGGCCCGUCAUCCGGGCUGAGGACAGUGUCUGGCGGGUAGUUUGACUGGGGCGGUCUCCUCCCAAAGCGUAACGGAGGAGCACGAAGGUUGGCUAAUCACGGUCGGACAUCGUGAGGUUAGUGCAAAGGCAUAAGCCAGCUUAACUGCGAGAGUGACGGCUCGAGCAGGUACGAAAGUAGGUCUUAGUGAUCCGGUGGUUCUGGAUGGAAGGGCCAUCGCUCAACGGAUAAAAGGUACUCCGGGGAUAACAGGCUGAUACCGCCCAAGAGUUCAUAUCGACGGCGGUGUUUGGCACCUCGAUGUCGGCUCAUCACAUCCUGGGGCUGAAGUAGGUCCCAAGGGUAUGGCUGUUCGCCAUUUAAAGUGGUACGCGAGCUGGGUUUAGAACGUCGUGAGACAGUUCGGUCCCUAUCUGCCGUGGGCGCAGGAAGAUUGAAAGGGGCUGCUCCUAGUACGAGAGGACCGGAGUGGACGCACCGCUGGUGUACGGGUUGUCAUGCCAAUGGCAUAGCCCGGUAGCUAAGUGCGGGAGAGAUAACCGCUGAAAGCAUCUAAGCGGGAAACUUGCCUUGAGAUGAGUCUUCCCUUGACUUGAGGUCACGGAAGGAACGUUUAAGACGAAGACGUGGAUAGGCUGGGUGUGUAAGUGCAGCGAUGCAUUGAGCUGACCAGUACUAAUGAACCGAGAGGCUUAACCUUACAACGCCGAAGGUGUUU
rnacentral:rRNA from 1 species